AACGAACGCUGGCGGCGUGCCUAACACAUGCAAGUCGUGCGGGAAAGUGGGGGCAACUCCACAAGUACAGCGGCGCACGGGUGAGUAACACGUAGGUAACCUACCUUUAAGACUGGGAUAACCUGUCGAAAGACGGGCUAAUACUAGAUAAGACUACGAGAGCCUCGGCUCUCGUGAGAAAAAGUGGCCUCUGCAUGCAAGCUACCACUUAGAGAUGGGCCUGCGCGCCAUUAGCUAGUUGGUGAGGUAACGGCUCACCAAGGCAAAGAUGGCUGGCUGGUCUGAGAGGAUGAUCAGCCACACUGGGACUGAGACACGGCCCAGACUGCUACGGGAGGCAGCAGUGGGGAAUAUUGCGCAAUGGGGGAAAGCCUGACGCAGCGACGCCGGGUGGGUGAUGAAGGCAUUCGGGUCGUAAAGCCCUGUCGGGAGGGAAGAAUCCUCGGUGGUCUAAUAGGCCAUCGACUUGACGGUACCUCCUAAGGAAGCACCGGCUAACUCCGUGCCAGCAGCCGCCGUAAUAC
rnacentral:rRNA from 1 species